rnacentral:sRNA from 1 species
GCACCUCAUAAAACGGGUGCCGGGAUUUCCACCCCGCCGAUAACCAAAGCGCACAACCGCGCCAGCGGUUUUUUU